GACGAACGCUGGCGGCGUGCUUAACACAUGCAAGUCGAACGAAGUGGCGAACGGGUGAGUAACGCGUAAUAAACCUGCCCUUCAGAGGGGGACAACAGUUGGAAACGACUGCUAAUACCGCAUACUGCAGGACGGGUUUGGGUCUGAUUAGCUAGUUGGAGGGGUGACGGCCCACCAAGGCGAUGAUCAGUAGCCGGUCUGAGAGGAUGAACGGCGACAUUGGGACUGAGACACGGCCCAGACUCCUACGGGAGGCAGCAGUGGGGAAUCUUCCGCAAUGGACGAGAGUCUGACGGGGCAACGCCGCGUGAGUGAUGACGGCCUUCGGGUUGUAAAGAUCUGUUAAUCGGGACGCGGUACCGGAAUAGAGAGCCACGGCUAACUACGUGCCAGCAGCCGCGGUAAUAC
rnacentral:rRNA from 1 species